GACGAACGCUGGCGGCGUGCUUAACACGUGCAAGUCGAACGGAAAGGCCUGCUUUCCCUUGUGGAUUGCGGGUACUCGAGUGGCGAACGGGUGAGUAACACGUGAGUGAUCUGCCCCCAACUUGGGUAUAAGCCUGGGAAACUGGGUCUAAUUCCCGAUAGGACUGCAGGGUGGUGCCUGUGGUGGAAAACGAUUUUCUAGUGGUUGGGGAUGAGCUCGCGGCCUAUCAGCUUGUUGGUGGGGUAAUGGCCUACCAAGGCGGCGACGGGUAGCCGGCCUGGAGGGGUGGACGGCACCAUGGGAGCGGGAUCCGGCCCCAGACUCGUACGGGGGGCGGAAGGGGGGAAUUUUGCAGAAGGGGGGGAAGCUUGAUGCAGCGCCGCGGCGGGGGGGAGGCCGGCCUCGGGGUGGAAACCUCCUUUCGCCGGGGAGGAAGCCCCCGGUUGGGAGGGGGGGUGAGGGUAGUGGUAGAAGAAGCACCGGCUAACUACGU
rnacentral:rRNA from 1 species